GGCCUUGUGGCCUAAUGGAUAAGGCGUCGGACUUCGGAUCCGAAGAUUUCAAGUUCGACUCCUGCCAGGGUCG
rnacentral:tRNA from 1 species